CCUACGGGAGGCAGCAGUGAGGAAUAUUGGUCAAUGGGCGUAAGCCUGAACCAGCCAAGUCGCGUGAGGGAUGACGGUUCUACGGAUCGUAAACCUCUUUUAUACGGGAAUAAAGCGUGGUACGUGUCGUACUUUGUAUGUACCUUAUGAAUAAGGACCGGCUAAUUCCGUGCCAGCAGCCGCGGUAAUACGGAGGAUCCGGGCGUUAUCCGGAUUUAUUGGGUUUAAAGGGAGCGUAGAUGGGUUGUUAAGUGUGUUGUGAAAGUUUGCGGCUCAACCGUAAAAUUGCAAUUGAUACUGGCAGGCUUGAGUACAGUGAAGGUAGGCGGAAUUCGUGGUGUAGCGGUGAAAUGCUUAGAUAUCACGAAGAACUCCGAUUGCGAAGGCAGCUUGCUAAACUGCCACUGACAUUGAUGCUCGAAAGUGUGGGUAUCGAACAGGAUUAGAUACCCUUGUAGUC
rnacentral:rRNA from 1 species